GAUGAACGCUGGCGGCGUGCCUAAUACAUGCCAGUCGAGCGAACGGACGAGAAGCUUGCUUCUCUGAUGUUAGCGGCGGACGGGUGAGUAACACGUGGAUAACCUACCUAUAAGACUGGGAUAACUUCGGGAAACCGGAGCUAAUACCGGAUAAUAUUUUGAACCGCAUGGUUCAAAAGUGAAAGACGGUCUUGCUGUCACUUAUAGAUGGAUCCGCGCUGCAUUAGCUAGUUGGUAAGGUAACGGCUUACCAAGGCAACGAUGCAUAGCCGACCUGAGAGGGUGAUCGGCCACACUGGAACUGAGACACGGUCCAGACUCCUACGGGAGGCAGCAGUAGGGAAUCUUCCGCAAUGGGCGAAAGCCUGACGGAGCAACGCCGCGUGAGUGAUGAAGGUCUUCGGAUCGUAAAACUCUGUUAUUAGGGAAGAACAUAUGUGUAAGUAACUGUGCACAUCUUGACGGUACCUAAUCAAAAAGCCACGGCUAACUACGUG
rnacentral:rRNA from 1 species